AGAUUAAGCCAUGCAUGUCUAAGUACAAGCCUCACUAAGGUGAAACCGCGAAUGGCUCAUUAAAUCACACCUAAUCUACUGGAUAGUAGACAGUUACUUGGAUACCUGCGGUAAUUCUGCAGCUAAUACAUGCUAUUAAGCCUCGACUCACGAAGAGGCGCUUUUAUUAGAUCAAAACCGAUCGGCUUCGGCCGUACCUUUGGUGAUUCUGAAUAACUUUGAGCUGAUCGCAUGGCCUCGCGCCGGCGACAUAUCCUUCGAAGGUGUGCCCUAUCAUCUGUCGACUGUGGCAUAGACGCCCACAGUGGAUUUGACGGGUAACGGAGAAUCAGGGUUCGAUUCCGGAGAGGGAGCCUUAAAAACGGCUACCACAUCCAAGGAAGGCAGCAGGCACGCAAAUUACCCAAUGACCGAAGGUCGAGGUAGUGACGAAAAAUAACGAUACGGGACUCAUCCGAGGCCCCGUAAUCGGAAUGAGUACAGUUUAAAAUAUUCCCCGAGGAUCUAUUGGAGGGCAAGUCUGGUGCCAGCAGCCGCGGUAAUUCCAGCUCCAAUAGCGUAUAUUAAAGUUGUUGCGGUUAAAAAGCUCGUAGUUGGAUCUCGGCGAGUAGAGGGCGGUAUGCUUCGUAGCAUUACUGCCCUAUUACCCGUAGUUUUGCCAGAG
rnacentral:rRNA from 1 species